AACGCACAUUGCGCCCGCUGGUACUCCGGCGGGCACGCCUGUCCGAGCGUCAUUUCAACCCUCAAGCCCUCCUUCGGGAUGGGCCUGGUGUUGGGGCUCGGCCGCCAUCUCCGGCGGCCGUCCCCUAAAUACAGUGGCGGUCACGUCGCGACUCCUUUGCGUAGUAGAAACACCUCGCUCCGGAUAGCAACGCGGUCCACGCCGUAAAACCCCCAAUUUUCAAUGGUUGACCUCGGAUCAGGUGGGAAUACCCGCUGAACUUAA
rnacentral:misc_RNA from 2 species